GGGCUCCCCUCCGCGCUCCUGCCCCGGCCGGGGGGAGAUCGCGGCACGCGCACGGCAGUAGCCCCACUCGCGGCCUUUCAGAUGUUUGAAGACUAUCUUCUCUCUUCUUUGGAGCAGCUUCAUGUUGCUUUCUCAAUCUGCCCAGGCCUCUCCAGACAACUUUAGCAAAUACUUAAGCCUGUUUGGGGAACCCUCCAAAGCACACUGCAUGUUUUCUGAAACCACGCUAAUGCAGACAGAAGCAAAUAUGGAUCCUUACACUAUGCCGCUAAAUGAAGCCUUUCUAAUGAAUCCAGAAAGACAACACACUAGAAGUCCUUUAACCCUGGUAUCAGAAAAUGGAAGCUGUUUUUAUGAAGAACAGAGGCUCCGUAUUGAAGAAGAUUUCUCUUCAGCUUUUAGAAGAAAAUUAGGAAUAGAACUAGUAGGUCCUGUUUCCCAUCAAAAGCAUGAAAAGCUCAUGAGAGCGCUUAUGCAGGCUUCGUUUUAUGGCAUAAUUAAAUAUUGUUUGAGAAUGAGGUGUUGAAGAGUAUGUGGGUUGUUUUUUAGAUGAACCAGAAUAAGGAAGCCACAAGAGCGUGAACUGGAUGGCUGAGGAUAUAAACCAGACAAUUCGGGAACUUUGUACUGAGCUGUGUAUGGAAACCAUUUUAAAUAUUGUUCAUAGAUUCAUAGAUCAUAGAGUCUGAAGGGACCACAAUGGAUCAUCGUGUA